CCUCGCCGUGCCGACCGGGAACGCGCCGGCGCCGUCGGCGCCGGCGGAGUCCGAGCGAAGGGCCCCGUCGCUCGGGUAGACGGGCGAGGG
rnacentral:tRNA from 1 species